rnacentral:rRNA from 1 species
UACGGAAGGCAGCAGUGGGGAAUAUUGCACAAUGGGCGCAAGCCUGAUGCAGCCAUGCCGCGUGUAUGAAAAAGGCCUUCGGGUUGUAAAGUACUUUCAGUCGUGAGGAAGGUGUUAAGGUUAAUAACCUUAGCAAUUGACGUUAGCGACAGAAGAAGCACCGGCUAACUCCGUGCCAGCAGCCGCGGUAAUACGGAGGGUGCGAGCGUUAAUCGGAAUUACUGGGCGUAAAGGGCACGCAGGCGGUUAAUUAAGUUGGAUGUGAAAUCCCCGGGCUUAACCUGGGAAUGGCAUUCAAGACUGGUUAGCUAGAGUCUUGUAGAGGGGGUAGAAUUCCAUGUGUAGCGGUGAAAUGCGUAGAGAUGUGGAGGAAUACCGGUGGCGAAGGCGGCCCCUGGACAAAGACUGACGCUCAUGUGCGAAAGCGUGGGGAGCAAACAGGGAUUAGAUACCCG